GAUAAAAUAAAAUAAAUUAAAUAAAAAGGGGUGCGGAGGUGCCUAAAUAAGAAAAUGGGGUGUCUAAACUAUUUUUAUAAACAGAUUGGGCUUAAGCCCAAACUGGAUGGGGUGAGAUUUAGCAGAAAUAGGGAUGCAGGGAAGAAAGGAUUUUUCAAACAGGAUGGGCUUAAGCCCAAAGAUAAUGGGGGUGUAAAAUGGGAGCGAUGGUGCAGAAAAAAAAAAGAUAUAUUUUUUUAUAAUUUUUUUUGGUUUGGCCUAGUAACUGAAACCCAAGGCUUUUCCUCAGAAACAGGGGUUCUCUUCUUCCCAUCUCAUUUCGCCCCAAAUCUAAACUACGGAACCCUAAGGGGAUUUGCCUCCUCUGCGCGCACCUCACCACCUCUGCCACGGCCUCCACCCAGCCAGACCAGCUGCCGUGACGGACCCCUGCUCAGUCUAGGGCGUCGCCAACGACCAAGCGCCACCGGAGCUACUGCCGGCCGUGGGGUUAAACUUCUCUUCUCUUGCACGAGGGAGAACGAUCCCUGGGACGCAUGUUCCCCGUCUCUGGCGAGACCAGCCACCGUCGUUCGGCGACCAAGACGUUGUCGUCACCAUCACUGAAACUGGCCGCCGCCGUCUCCAGAUCAGGAACCAGGGUCGCGCCGGCUAUGCAACUCGCUGUCGGAGUCGUCGCCACUCGAUCCAAGGCGUCGCCGGCGACACCAACCAUCAACAGGACCAGUCGGCGGGAGAGAGAAGAAUCGUUGCUUCCCUGAGUCUAGUCUCCACCACCAUGAACGGAUCCAACCAUCGCCGCCGGCGCACGUGACUCUUUUCUCCCUCUUUUCCUAUCGUGGUCGCCACCACCACAGAGGCGGAAACUACCGCCACCGAGGCCACCACUAGCGUGGUUCCACGGAAGGUUAACUCAUUUGUUGGUGGCUUGAGGUGAACAGAGGCAAGGGGACCCAAUUUCAUGAUCUGACUUGGUUUGUGGGGUUUUUGGUGGUUGGUGGGUGAACAUGGACUGUCGGCAUUGACAGAGAGUGGAGGAAUCGGAAAAGCUGUUUCAGUUUGUUGGGAUGAUGAUUUAUCUGCAGGGGGUUACCGGAACUUGGACUAUGAUGCAGGACUUUAAUUCGCAGCUUUGGGUUACGCAAAGAGAGCACUGGUCUCUAAUGGUUCAUAGGUUUAGGAUAUGCAUGGAAAGCACUGGUCUCUAAUGGUUAAAGGUGGUGAAACGUGUUUUUGUUGUUGGGAGGGAGGCAUAACAAACAAUGUACAGAAGCACAUCAUGCACAUCAUGUAUAUUCAAUAUAAUUACAUGUUCAAGCAAACAAAGCUGUUCAAUAUAAUUGCAUGUUCAAGCAGAAAAACCCAGCAUCACCAAAUCAAAACCAGAAGCAGAAACGCAAUCUAACAUUUAUAACUUGUGAGCGAUGAAGCUAAGGGAGAGUGGCAAUGAGGAAAAAAAUGGCUUCUGUUUGAUGGCGGAGGUGAAUCAUUGGGAAUGAAAGGGAAAUGUUGUUGGGUAUGUGAAUGGAGGAAGUGGAUUCUGUUGAGUAGAGAGUGAAUGGUGAAGUUGAGAGUAGUGUUUUUUUUCAAUACUCAGGCUGCCCUCUCAUAACUUGGAGAUGCGUUUUUGUUUCUUUUUUUUCUCUGCUCUCUCUGCCAAAGGCGACUGCAAUCACUCUUCCACCAUCUUUCAUGCUCCCAUGCUAAACCAGUUCAAAGCGCCGGUCCAUACACAGUAUUCGCACCCAAAAGGGGAUAUGGCGUGCCUGUGGAAUGGUUGCUUCCUGAAACCCAGCCAAGCCAUCCUGCUUGUUGUAUUUCCUCUUUCAGGUGAGCCAGCUAAAGAUUCUAGGUUCAUGCAUAAAGAAAAGAUUUGCACCAGAAUGGGAGAUAGCGUCAUGGAAUGAAAAAGGAAAAGCAGCUUACUCAAAUUGGACCGGAUACCGUUCUUUUGUUUUGUUUCAUCAACGUUUACCAUAAAAAUUAAAGUAAAAGAAUAUAAAAAUAAAACUAAACAGCAAAAACAAAACAACGGAAAAAAAUAAAA